UGGGGAAUAUUGCACAAUGGGCGCAAGCCUGAUGCAGCCAUGCCGCGUGUAUGAAGAAGGCCUUCGGGUUGUAAAGUACUUUCAGCGGGGAGGAAGGGAGUAAAGUUAAUACCUUUGCUCAUUGACGUAACCCGCAGAAGAAGCACCGGCUAACUCCGUGCCAGCAGCCGCGGUAAUACGGAGGGUGCAAGCGUUAAUCGGAAUUACUGGGCGUAAAGCGCACGCAGGCGGUUUGUUAAGUCAGAUGUGAAAUCCCCGGGCUCAACCUGGGAACUGCAUCUGAUACUGGCAAGCUUGAGUCUCGUAGAGGGGGGUAGAAUUCCAGGUGUAGCGAUGAAAUGCGUAGAGAUCUGGAGGAAUACCGGUGGCGAAGGCGGCCCCCUGGACGAAGACUGACGCUCAGGUGCGAAAGCGUGGGGAGCAAACAGG
rnacentral:rRNA from 1 species